rnacentral:rRNA from 1 species
AUAAGCACCGGCUAACUACGUGCCAGCAGCCGCGGUAAUACGUAGGGKGCGAGCGUUAAUCGGAAUUACUGGGCGUAAAGCGUGCGCAGGCGGUUUUGUAAGACAGAUGUGAAAUCCCCGGGCUCAACCUGGGACCUGCAUUUGUGACUGCAARGCUAGAGUGCGGCAGAGGGGGAUGGAAUUCCGCGUGUAGCAGUGAAAUGCGUAGAUAUGCGGAGGAACACCGAUGGCGAAGGCAAUCCCCUGGGCCUGCACUGACGCUCAUGCACGAAAGCGUGGGGAGCAAACAGGAUUAGAUACCCUGGUAGUCCACGCCCUAAACGAUGUCAACUGGUUG